UCUCUCUCUCUCUCUCUCGGCGGGGGACGACGAGAUAUCGCGGCGCGGAACAGCGAGCAGGUACUGCAAGGGAAAAGCGACAACAUAAGCCUACGUUCCGCUCUCUCCCAGGGCUCCCAUCUUUCUGGUAAGAUAUCCAAUACAUAUUUGUAUCAUGUCUGAGGAUGUUAUCUAGAUGCAGGCUGAAGGAAAUCUUCUUCUUUCCGAGUAAAAACAUUAGUUUCACUUUGAUUUGGAUUCUGGAGAAUAUGAAUGUUUCAGUUUGAAGUGAUCAUCAAUUUGUGUCGCACAAAAAUGAAUUGCAAAGCCUGCUCUCGAUGUUGGCCCUCAGUCAAGCACGCACGCUCGCUCACUGUUGGUCCACUCCAGCAACGCUGAAGUUGUCGCAGCCUUGCCGGGGACGGUGUUGGCAGCGUUCGACAGUGUGAGCACAUGAUCUUUAUGUUUCAGGCGGCUUUGGUUACAUGUAUCUGUUUCUCUAAUACUGCUAUGAGAUUCAGUGGAGGAAGAGCACCGAUUUAUUUCCAUAUGGUUAUGUAUGGUUGCUUUGGCCUUUGAGCGGUGAAAAAUCAAAAAAGAGGUUUUAGGUAUGCUUAUAUGGCAAACCUGAUCCAAUGCACAAUCUAAUUGCAUGGAGCAAAUGAAUUUUUUUCAUACUUGCAAUCCUGCACUUUAAAAAGCAUAUUAUGUAAAUUGAUUUUUUUAUUUCUCCAUGUGUUUUGUAAGGCUUGGUGAGGUUAGAUAAUUUUCUGCC